GUGAGACCCUUAUAGUAAAAUGUUUAUUCAAGUAUAGUAAUCAUAAAAUUAGCCAACACAUUAUGAUUAUAGUCUAUAUUAUUAUCGAGACACUGACAUGCGAAUCAUGUAACAAUCGAGUCAUAUGAACUUCAUAAAAGUUUUCAAUUAUAAGUUAGAACCUUUUAUUUUUCUUUAAUGAAUUAACAUUCAAAACGGAAAUUAUUGGCAAAUUACUUUUUUUUUUUACCGAUGUAGCCCAUGUUAAGUUAUAUCACCCAUUUAAAAACGGUAUCAUCUUUGAUGUUAGUUUGGUAUUUAUAUUUUAUACUAGUCUUGAAUCGCAGUUUUAUGCUGCGCAUGCAUUGCACAAUUUAAUAGUCAUCGCAGCAGCUUCAAUAUUUUUUUUACAACUUUGAAACUGCUUAACAAAUUUAUUAAAAACACACUUAAUUAACAGCAGUCGUCAAGAAUGUUGGCACUAGGAUUGAUGGUUUUUGAAUAUUUCACCACCGAUAUGUAAAAAAAAUAUACAAAAACAUUUAUUUUACAAAUUAAAGAAAAAC
rnacentral:lncRNA from 1 species